ACUUACGCCGGUAGCAUACGUAAACGGCAAUGGAUCUUACAUACACUAUUCAGACACUCGGCGGGAAGGUCGAGUGUCGAGAGGGCAAUAGCCCAGAGGCGCAGCUCAGGUACCAAAUUUGUUUAAUAUAAUCAGG
rnacentral:rRNA from 1 species